rnacentral:rRNA from 1 species
AGCAGCCGCGGUAAUUCCAGCUCCAAUAGCGUAUAUUAAAGUUGUUGCAGUUAAAAAGCUCGUAGUUGAACUUCGGGGUUCACCCAUUGGUCAGGCUUAAUUGUCUGCACUGGUGAGAUGAGUCUCUACCUUCUGAGGAACUUUCAUGUCAUUAAUUUGGUGUGAUGGGAAAUCAGGACUGUUACUUUGAAAAAUUGAGCGUUUAAAGCAGGCUAACGUCUGAAUACAUUAGCAUGGAAUAAUGAAAUAGGACGGACUGAUUCUAUUUCGUUGGUUUCUAGGAUCACCGUAAUGAUUAAUAGGGAUAGUUGGGGGCAUUAGUAUUCAAUUGUCAGAGGUGAAAUUCUUGGAUUUAUUGAAGACUAACUACUGCGAAAGCA